rnacentral:rRNA from 1 species
AGAAUCAACGCUGGCGGCGUGCCUAACACAUGCAAGUCGAACGAGAAAGUGGAGCAAUCCAUGAGUAAAGUGGCGCACGGGUGAGUAACACGUGACUAACCUACCCUUGAGUGGGGAAUAACCUAGGGAAACCUGGGCUAAUACCGCAUAACACCUACGGGUCAAAGGGGCAAUUCGCUUAAGGAGGGGGUCGCGGCAGAUUAGCUAGUUGGCGGGGUAAUGGCCCACCAAGGCAGUGAUCUGUA